rnacentral:rRNA from 1 species
CUAAGCCAUGCGAGUCGAGAGGGUUCGGCCCUCGGCGGACUGCUCAGUAACACGUGGAUAAUUUGCCCUUAGGUGGAGGAUAAUCUCGGGAAACUGAGAAUAAUACUCCAUAGAUCUAGGAUGCUGGAAUGCACUUAGAUUGAAAGUUCCGGCGCCUAAGGAUAAGUCUGCGGACUAUCAGGUUGUAGUCAGGGUAAAGACCUGACUAGCCUACAACGGAUACGGGUUGUGAGAGCAAUAACCCGGAGACGAUAUCUGAGACACGAUAUCGGGCCCUACGGGGCGCAGCAGGCGCGAAACCUUCACACUGCGCGAAAGCGCGAUAAGGGGAUCCCAAGUGCCAGCUCGUAAGAGUUGGCUGUUUCUCUGUCUAAAAAGCAGAGAGAGUAAGGGCUGGGUAAGGCGGGUGCCAGCCGCCGCGGUUAA